UAGUCGAUAUGUUUCUUCUCUCUCCCAUUUUUUUUUUCUUCGCCUUUCUUCUUUUCUUCGCCUUCAGCUUUCUUUCUUUCUUCUUUCUUCUUUCUUCUUUCUCCCUUUCUCCCUUUCUCCUCCCAUCCGAUAUACAAUCUCCACCCCAGCCCUGCCUCCCUUCCGACCUUUCUAUCAUGGAUUUCAGUCUUGACCCAGCCCAGUCCAAGCUCCGUAUCGUCAACCCAGCCCUCGUCUGAGCUUGGAAGCCUCGACCCAACCCCAUCCUCCGUUCCUCUGAGGGGUUUUUUCUUCUUCUUGUUUUCUCCAUUUUACUUUUGUCCCUCGUCUAAUAAAAAUCACAAGGUCGUCAAUUGUAUAGGACUCGAGAGUGUCUGUCAGAGUUGAAUCAUGAAAACAUAUGCUUAAAAAGGGAAGGUCGAUCGGAGGAAGAGCACUGAAAAAAAGACUAUGUUAAAAAUGCCCAAGUACUACACCACCAAUCUACUGAAAUUUAGAUGUGGAUUAAUGACGAAAAUAAUCACCUCAUGGACUAAUGAUAACCCAGGGAGGAGAUUUGCCAUAUGUUAGUUAUUUGAGAGUUGAGGGUGUGAUUUUCUGGGAUUGGGUUGAUGCUGAGAUGUGCAGUAGAUCGACACAAGUAAUACCAGGAUUGCGAAGAAGAAUAAACAAGUUGGAGGUUGAUGCUAGAAGUGCAAAGAAUACUAUGAAGGAGUUGAAGACCGACAAUUGCAAGCUACUCCUUGAAUCGAAUACUACAAAGAGAAGAAUUAGACAAAUGCUCAUGGUGGUGAUUGGUUGGAUAAUAUGGGUUGUCAUGCGCGCGGCUUCCUCACCAUCAAAUAAGUAGUUAAGGAAUGAACAUCAAGCACUUGAUAAGAUGUGAUGAUAGUAAUGUGUAGUAUCUGUGUACUCUGUUUAGUACUUAUAGAGCAAUUUAGUGUUAAUUGUGUGUUGGUGGGAAAUUAUAGAGCUUUUUCUAUGAAACGUUGUUUGUCAA